ensembl:lncRNA ZNF503-AS1 ZNF503 antisense RNA 1
UUCCUCCAGACAGACGCGGUCACACACGAGGGAACUACCACCCCGUAUGGGAGCGAGAGAAGCAGGACUGUGCAGAAGGAGAAGUUGAACAACUCCUGGAAAGCUCUGAAGCUGGGAUCAUCCUUCCAGAAUGUCUUGGAUUGAGACAAGGGCCUUAUCUUGUACAAGAUUCAUGUGUUGGUGAGCUCAUUUCCACCAGAACUCAGCCCAGGCUGCUGUGGGAUGGAAUCACCUGCACCCGGAUGUUCUUUCUGGGCUGGUACAUACAGUACUUUAAUCAGCAUUUAAUGACCCAGUCGAAAAUUCAUUGUUUGGACCCAAGCACUGGUGGGAAAGGCAGGAGGGGAGGCCUGCCUUCCUUCCUCCCUCCCGAGCCCUACAGCAGGCCAUGGAGUGGUGAGCGAGUUCGUACAGUGCCAACCACAUUCCCAGAAACUUCCAGCAGAGGUUAAUCCUGCUCCUCUCAGGAAAAAGUGAUUCAGCUCCGGUCCACCCUGGGUGCAGCGGUCCUUCUGCCAAGAUGCCUUCAUAUCAUACAGCUAUUAUUUUCGGGAGGAUUCCAAGUGAGGGCAGUCAGGGUGGGCUUGGCCCAUUCUCUAGACUUUGGAAGGUAAUGUUCUAUAGAGGCCUGUUCUGAAGCUUUACCAGGUCAAACCGGAGAAGAACCCAACAAGUAACUCAUCCCAGCCUAACUAUUCUUCAAGGGCAAUCAACCUACAGCAUCCAAGCACAGAGAAAUCAAAUCCAUGGAGAAUCUUCAAAUUAGGCUCAGAAUCCAUUUGGGUCAAUGAAUUUACUGUUAUUAAGAUCUUAGUUGUGUUCAACCAUGAUUUGACAUACCUUAGAGUGAGAAGAUAUUCUUCCUGGCCUCAGACUAGUUGAAGGUAGAGAGAGAGACAGGCCCUUGGGUGUGGGGAGACCUCUCCUGGGAUAAUACACACAAAAAACCAAGAGCUGCUCACUGUGGUGCAGGAGACAGCAGGGCCUGAAGCCAGAGGCUCUGUGUCCUUGAAUACAAUGUUUUACUCCUCUGACCCCUGUUACUGUGAUUUGGAGAGGCAGACAAUAUAGGAUGGGCUUUGCAGGCAGGGAGGUCCAGUUAUAAUCCCAGCUCUUACUAAGUUGGGUAAGACUCACUCUGAGACUUAGUUUCUUCUGUCAUCUCUCAAUAGAAUCAUAAAGGUACUUUCCUCUUAGUGUUGUUUUAAAAUUCAGUAAAAUAAUGCAGGCUUAGCACAGGGUCUGAUGUAAAUUUUCAAUGAAUUAUCGUUGUCAAUAUUGUUCUGGAAAACAAGAGGGCAUAUUAGAAGAUCAAAAGUACUGCCAAGCAUUGAAGUGCCAAUUCUAGAUCCAGUCUCAGCCCUCUGAGAAUGGAUAUCAUUGUUUUCAAGCCAUUCAGAAACCAAUGUGAAUUGAACACCUAGUAUGAGCUCUCUGAGGGAAGAGCCAAGUCAUGCAUUUUUUAUCUUAAGGGGUCUUCAAUACCUCUAGCCCAAAACAGUAUCUCCAUCAGGAUUCUUCUCUGAUAGUGUUCAUUUCUUUUUUCUCAAUGGAUGCCUUAAAAAAAAAAUCCUACAAGGAAACCUGUACUCCUCAAAUACACCACUCAGGUGACCAUUAAAUCAUUUACAUUGUUAA